GUCUAUUUGGAGAUAUAAAAAGUCUAGCCUGCCCGCUGAUAAAUAUUUAAGGGCCGCGGUAUUUCUGACUGUGCAAAGGUAGCAUAAUCGUUAGUUUUUUAAUUGAAAUCUUGUAUGAAUGGUUUGACAAAAGAAAAACUGUCUUUAUAAUUAUUUAUUGAAUUUAACUUUUAAGUGAAAAGGCUUAAAUAAGUUAAAAAGACGAUAAGACCCUAUAAAGCUUAAUAUUAAUUUUUAUUUAAUAAAAUUUUAGGUAUUAUAAAUAUUUGGUAAAUUGUUUUUAUUAUAUUGGGGCGAUAAUGGUAAAAUUAUUAUUAACUGUUAAUUGAAUUUUAAACAAAAAUAAAUGGAUAAUGCACGUAUGUAAAUGAUCCUUUUUAAAGAUUAAAAGUUUAAGUUACUUUAGGGAUAACAGCGUUAUUUUUUUUGAGAGUUCUUAUCGAAAAAAAAGUUUGCGACCUCGAUGUUGAAUUAAAAUAUCUAUAUAAUUGUAGCAGUUAUAUAAGAAGGUCUGUUCGACCUUUAAAUUUUUACAUGAUUUGAGUUCAAACCGGCGUGAG
rnacentral:rRNA from 1 species